CGGACCGGCGCACGGGUGCGUAACGCGUAUGCAACCUACCCAUAACAGGGGGAUAACACUGAGAAAUUGGUACUAAUACCCCAUAAUAUCAUAGAAGGCAUCUUUUAUGGUUGAAAAUUCCGAUGGUUAGAGAUGGGCAUGCGUUGUAUUAGCUAGUUGGUGGGGUAACGGCUCACCAAGGCGACGAUACAUAGGGGGACUGAGAGGUUAACCCCCCACACUGGUACUGAGACACGGACCAG
rnacentral:rRNA from 1 species